GAUAACUAGAUCGGCACAAAAUUUGUUGCUUUUUUCCUCGGUGAAUCAUGUGCCAUCUUUCUCGUUGGACGGGUGGUUGUCGUCGCUUUUGGUUCCAUGAUGCUACUAGGAAGAGGUGUUGGCUGUUGGAACUGCUUGGGACAUAUUUUUGCCUAUAUUUCCGGUGACACCACGUUUUCGCCCCAUGGUCCGUUAUCCUGGAUGACACGUGCAUAAAGUGGGUUUCUUGAUGUUACUCCCAACUCUUUUCUUUUCUUAACCUAGCUUUUUGUCUUAGUUAUUUAAGACAAUGUAUUUUCUUUAUGAAAGUAAUGAAAAGGGGAAAGGCCGGUUCAAAGAAAAAACAUGUUCAUUUAGUGGUCAUUCAUGAAUCGUGAAUAGGACUGGUCUCGAAACGAUAGAAAUGCUAUCCGUGCUUAAUGAUAGUGUGAUGUACUCCCUCGUUUCUAAAUAUAAGUUUUUUUAAAGAUUUCUCUGACA
rnacentral:lncRNA from 1 species